CGCGUGAGGAACCUGCCUCAAAGAGGGGGACAACAGUUGGAAACGACUGCUAAUACCGCAUAAGCCCACAGCUCGGCAUCGAGCAGAGGGAAAAGGAGUGAUCCGCUUUGAGAUGGCCUCGCGUCCGAUUAGCUAGUUGGUGAGGUAAUGGCCCACCAAGGCGACGAUCGGUAGCCGGACUGAGAGGUUGAACGGCCACAUUGGGACUGAGACACGGCCCAG
rnacentral:rRNA from 1 species